rnacentral:misc_RNA from 1 species
GAUGAAGAACGCAGCGAAAUGCGAUAAGUAAUGUGAAUUGCAGAAUUCAGUGAAUCAUCGAAUCUUUGAACGCAUCUUGCGCUCCUUGGUAUUCUGAGGAGCAUGCCUGUUUGAGUGUCAUUAAAUUCUCAACUACACUGACUUUGAAUUGGUGUGGCUUGGAUUUGGGGGGAAAAUUGUUGUGGGCUUUUUGUAUAGUCUGCUCCCCUGAAAUUGAUUAGCGGUACCUUUGUGGAACUGUCUACAGGUGUGAUAAUUAUCUACAUCUUAGACAUCUGCUGGAUUGCUGCUUUCUAAACCUUACUUGUAUUGACAAUCUUGACCUCAAAUCAGGUAGGACUACCCGCUGAACUUAAGCAUAUCAAUAAGCGGAGGA